CUUCGAGAGCCCGCCUUGG
rnacentral:miRNA from 1 species